UACGUAGGGGGGCAAGCGUUGUCCGGAUUUAUUGGGCGUAAAGAGCGUGUAGGCGGCCAUGCAGGUCAGCUGUGAAAACUCGAGGCUCAACCUCGAGACGUCGGUUGAAACCGUAUGGCUAGAGUCCGGAAGAGGAGAGUGGAAUUCCCGGUGUAGCGGUGAAAUGCGCAGAUAUCGGGAAGAACACCUAUGGCGAAGGCAGCUCUCUGGGACGGUACUGACGCUGAGACGCGAAAGCGUGGGGAGCAAAGCAGG
rnacentral:rRNA from 1 species